UCGCUGAAAGGGAAGCGAAUGGAACCAGUCUUCUGGCUGAGAUUGCUGCAUGCUACUGUGAUGCCUGGCUGCUUCAACGCAAGUGUUGUAGUUAGAGUUGAUCAGCUGCGUGUGGUGUUUCUCAGCUUGUUAGUCAACCUCUGUUUGCGCUUGGGGAUAGCCUCAGGUACACGUCGCUUCUCUGCGGAGUUGCUCCUGUGCUUGUAGGGACUCAGGUGCAUACUUUUGGUGACAAAAUGGUUCUCUUCGACCCGUCUUGAAACACGGACCAAGGAGUCUAGCACAUGUGCAAGUUCACAGGUGGCAAGCCUGCUUGCGCAAUGAAGGUGACUGCUGGGAUAUUUGCACCAGCAACCGACCAAUCAAUUGAGAGAAGUUUGAGUAUGAGCAUAUGUGUUAGG
rnacentral:rRNA from 1 species